AUUGAACGCUGGCGGAAUGCUUUACACAUGCAAGUCGAACGGCAGCACGGGUGCUUGCACCUGGUGGCGAGUGGCGAACGGGUGAGUAAUAUAUCGGAACGUACCCAUUAAUGGGGGAUAGCAUAUCGAGAGAUGUGCUAAUACCGCAUACGCCCUGAGGGGAAAAGCGGGGGAUCUUAGGACCUCGCGCUAUUGGAGCGGCCGAUGUCGGAUUAGCUAGUUGGUGGGGUAAAGGCCCGCCAAGGCGACGAUCCGUAGCUGGUCUGAGAGGACGACCAGCCACACUGGAACUGAGACACGGUCCAGACUCCUACGGGAGGCAGCAGUGGGGAAUUUUGGACAAUGGGGGAAACCCUGAUCCAGCCAUUCCGCGUGAGUGAAGAAGGCCUUCGGGUUGUAAAGCUCUUUCGCAAGGGAAGAAAACUUACAUUCUAAUAAAGUGUGAGGCUGACGGUACCUUGAUAAGAAGCACCGGCUAACUACGUGCCAGCAGCCGCCGUAA
rnacentral:rRNA from 1 species